rnacentral:rRNA from 1 species
UACCCCGCUGAAUUUAAGCAUAUCAGUAAGCGGAGGAAAAGAAACUAACCAGGAUUCUCCCAGUAACGGCGAGUGAACGGAGAUUAGCCCAUCACCGAAGUCCGGUGCUUUUGCAUACAGGACAAUGUGGUGUUUAAGCUUGUACCUGGAAUCGCGAACCUACCCGAAGUCCAACUCCGAUUGUGGCUUGGAUUGUGCCCAUAGCGGGUGAUAGGCCCGUACGGGUAGGUUGUUGUGCUUUUAGCGGUUCUCAGAUGUGCUUGCUUUCGAGUCGGAUUGCUUGAGAAUGCAGUCCAAAGUGGGUGGUAAACUCCAUCCAAGGCUAAAUACUGGCACGAGUCCGAUAGUAGACAAGUACCGUGAGGGAAACUUGAAAAGUACUCUGAAGAGAGAGUAAACAGUACGUGAAGCCGGUUGCAGGGAAGCUGGUGGAGUCAAGCUUCAUGCUUGAAGGAUUUGUAUCAGCAGUAUUGUGUUGUAUUAAUAUGAGAGUGAUCAACUUGUAAUAAGUUGGGCGCAUUCGUGUGCUUCAAGUCAUUCCGGGUUGUGUGUUUGUUAUCACUCUCAUUUUUUUGCUGCUGGUGUUCUAUCCUUCUUUGCAUAAAUCAUGGUCGAUAGCAUGUAUUCGCGUGUUGUAUGAUUGUCUAACUGUGCUUUGGCAGGCAUCCGUUUGUCGGGCACAGGAUGGCAGGUUGUGGCUUCAGUUCCUUGUGUUCUGUUAGUCGCUUAUAGUGGUUUCGACC